AACUUCUGGGCUUCCAGCUCUGCGCGUGCCCGGCGAGCAGUCCUUAGAGAUCGUCUGCUUAAAGGCUGAGACCCUCGCCACCAGAGGAUAGGAGGGUAGCCCAGUGAUGCGGCGGGAGACUUUAGGUAGCUCCUGCCUCGCUGGCCUCCAGCCUAUGUGUGCCCACCCUCCACGCGUCCCCAGCACCGCAGGGAAGCCAUCCGACGCCUUAACCUUUCCCUGGCUAUUCCAAGCAAGGCAAAGGGCCAAGCGUCUAGGACUCUGGUCUUCUCUGCACCUGUGCCUAUCUCACCUGGGUCGCGCUUGGUCUCCAUAUCCUCAUCCUGGCCCCCACCCGCGUCCCCUAGCUCCGCUGGAGUAGGGAGGAAACUUUCUUAAUUCCAGAAUUUCCUUGGGCCACUUGAGAGGCAAGGCAACAUGAAGACAACCAGAGGCCACCUCGGGGGCGGGGCACAAAUGAAAUUCACGGGUAGAGGAAAAGACAGAGGACACACUCCUAAGGGAAGAGGCAAUAGGAGCAGAACGGAGGAGGGGAAAGAGCAGAGCGUGAAAAGUCAAGGUUUCGGGGCCUUUUUUGGUAGGAGGCCUGUGAUAAGGUUCUUGACUGAACAACCUGGCCUAGAGAAAACCUUCCCACUGAGACAACUCUCCUGCUGGAGGGUAGUCUUUCAGAGCAGCGGCCUGCAGAAAGGAAGAGAUGUCAUCCUUGAAUGGAUCUAAUCAGAGAGGGUGCUGGCCUCAGAGAGAGGGGGGGCGCGGGGGCGCGCUCGGCUUUUCCUCAUACCUCUGAGAGACCCUACUUCCUGGGUUCACUGUCCACUGUCUGGUUGCUCAUGCCUGAUGACUCAACAUAUGCCAAAUAAAGGAUACCCAAGUGGGCAGGAUUACUGGGCACGGCA
rnacentral:lncRNA from 1 species